rnacentral:tRNA from 2 species
GCCUCUGUCGUCCAAUGGCUAGGAUAGGGGAUUGUGGAUCCCCGGAUGGGUGUUCGAUUCCCCCCAGAGGCCCC